rnacentral:rRNA from 1 species
CCCUUAGAUGUUCUGGGCCGCACGCGUGCUACACUGAGUGGAUCAGCGGGUCAGGUUGCGCGAAAGCGUUUCCUAAUCUUUAAAUCCGCUCGUGAUGGGGAUUGACGGUUGCAAUUUUCUGUCAUGAACGAGGAAUACCUUGUAAGCGCGGGUCAUCAUCCCGCGCUGAAUACGUCCCUGCCCUUUGUACACACCGCCCGUCGCUCCUACCGAUUGAGUGGUCCGGUGAGGCUUUGGGAUCUGAGCGGAAAGAGCGUUUCGCUGUUUCUGCCCGGAAAACUCAGCCGAACCUUAUCAUUUAGAGGAAGGAGAAGUCGUAACA